UAUUAAACGGAGCAGUAAAAAAUGCAGACAUGCAAACCAUUUGGACGGGCUCCUCGGCGCAGAGCCUGCCAGGAAAUCAAUCUUCUGGUUUCUUAAAGGAAACCUGCUCGGGAGGAGGUGGUGAAGCGGCGCAGCCUGCAGGCCCUGGGAGGGGGCGGCCGUCAUCUGUCCAUCUGUCCGCCGCAGCCCAGCCGGCCGUGGGGGUCCUUGCCGGCCGCGGCCUCGGUGGCCCUCGGACAGGGAGCAGGGAGGGACGCCGAGCCACCGUCCGUCCACCCUGGGUGUGGGCCCUGGGGCCUGGCUGGGCUGGCCGUGUGCCCUAGAGCAAGAGGCUUGGCCCCUCUGAGCUCCCCUCGCCCGGUGGCAGUGAUCCUUUCUCUGGCUGCGCUCCCCACCCCCAGGGGAUGGUGAAGAUUCUUCCCUCACUUUGUGACUCUGGGACUUAAAGGAUUCAGCGGAGGUGGCCCAGCCCCUCUCUGCAGAGCCAGGAUCCCAAGCCAGAUGCAGCCAAGGAAGCCCCUCAGAGGGCUGCUGAGCCCAUCAUCCUCUGGCAGCUUAGCAAAGCCCAGGGCCUGAGUGCUGGGGGAUACCCUGUGCAAGCCCCGAAUGGAUUGAACAUCUGUGGGACCAAGAAAGGCAAAUGGCCCAGAACCUUAGCACAAACAGGCUGCUGCUGCCUGUGCCACCUGCCCUCUCAACUUCAUUCCACUUUACAGGGAUGCUGCGCCUGCCAAAAAGGUGUGUGCUGGUGAAGAAAGAAAUCUGUCUUGUGCCUGGGCGGUACCCCUAACGGUCCUUCCUUGACGAAGUGGGAGUGAAGAAGGAAAGGUUUGCCUUCCCUUGGUUCUCACGCCUGGAGUAUUACAACAUCGACAUACCAAGAAGAUAAAAAUGGAGCUGCUCUGAUUGGAGAGGAAGGGGGUAUCCUUGGACUUACCCCAUGCACACCCACACAGGCUGUGUCUUCCUGACGAGCCCCAGUCUCUUCAGAAUGGACUGAGGAUCAGCAGAUCACAGGGCAGCAGGUUCACUUGUCAGAGUUGCUAACUGGCACCAGAUGUUAAGACCCAACUGCAUGAAUGAGACCCGCUUCCUGGCCUUCUUGUGCUGAAGUGAUGGCGACUGGCCAGUCAGCCUUCGAGAUGGUCUCCAGAUGGUUCCUUCCUCCUGUUCACAUCUCUGUAGGCCCCUCCCACGGUGAAUAGGGCUCCCUGUGUGACCAACAGGAUGCUGUAGGAAUGACCCAAGGUUAGGUCAUAAAAGGCACCAUGGCUUCAGUCUUGCUCCCUGGAGUCACUCCCCUGGGGGAAGCCAGCCUCCAUGUUGUAAGGACACUCAAGCAAUCCUACAGAGAAGACCCUGUGGUGAGGAACCGAGGUCUCUGCCUUGCCAGCCUUGCAAGUGCACCAUCUAAGGAGCCCAUGGUCCAACCCCAGUCAAGCUGUCAGAUGACGCAGCCCCCACAACACCUUAGCGGCAAUCCCAAAAGAGACCACAAGCUGGAACCAUCCAGCUAACCCACUUCUCAAUUCCUUACCCACAGAAACUUGGAGAAUAAAUGCCGAUGAUUUUAAGCCACUAA